GCAGCCCUGCCCGCAGCCCUGCCCGCAGCCGGGCGCCGCCGCGCCGCGGCCCAUCUGCACCUUCUGCCUCAGCGAGCAGCGGAAGCGGCACCGAGAAGGAGAGAAACCGCUGUCCGGUCCGGCUUUAGGUGGGCACUGAAUCGGCUGAGAAUCUCGGGCAAACCUUGCAGUGACCGGACUGCUCUGGGUAACGUCGCCGCGCUCAUGCUAUAUGUUUACAUUUAAAUAACGCAGUCCUAAAAGAGUUACUUUUUAAGCCUUUGCACCUUGUUUCACUUUGUGACAGGUUCAUUCAGGGUAUUUUGCAAAUGAAAUUGAAUGCUCUUGAGACAGUUGCACCUGGUGCGGCAGCUAUUUUAGGGCAAGAAAUGUUAAACCUAAGCAGCCAAGCCCCGACCCUGAUGUCUCCUAAACCUGUGUCACAUGGUGAAACUUGAACUUCCAAACACACAGUGUCUCCUGUCAGGGGAACCUGUCAUGAACACGUCGUGCUGUACGCCUUCAGCCCAGCUUGGGCUGCACGCAGCACUGCCGCCCACUCCUCCAGCUGCACGCCAAUUCUUGGGGUGGGGGGCUGAUACCGACAGCUGACAUGCUCGAGAGGUUCGAACAAUGCUGGAAGAUUAUUUUAAGGUGUUCACAGAAAGUCGGGAAACUUCCAGUGAAAGCACCACGGUUCGCUGUGCGCGUAGGCACAGCAGCAGAUCGACACGGGACGUAGCCAGGACGGGAGAGGAAAGUGGAGAAGUGCUGCGUAAGCGAUGCUCUUUCCUUAUUAACGCUGCGAGUCAUGCCAGUCCUUUAAAUAGCACGGGAUAUUCCUAAAUCUGUCUGGCAAGCACGGGGUGAGGAGGGUUCCCCGAGGGCUCUCUACGUUUACCCAACACCCAGGUCAUUCCCAAAGUGUGCCUGUACAUCGCUGAUGUCAUUUAUCUCCCCUCAGUUUAUUAACUUGUAUACAUUUUUUUUAAGAAGUAAGUCUAAAAACCAAAUAUGCAUGUUACGUUUUCAGUUUUGGACAUUAAUGAAGCAGCAGGCUAAAAUCUUAAACCCCAGGAAUGGUGGUUUUUAAAAAAAUAUAUAGCUAGUUUAAUUUUGCAAUGUUUUUUAUAGUUAUAAUAGAUUUAAUUAGGCCUUAAUUAAUCUUUAACUUGUUACUCUGGGAGGCACUCUGUAUUCUUUAAAAGCUUGGUAACCGUACCACUCUGAGAAGUGCUGCGAAGGAUACUUGUCUCUUUUUUUCUCCCCUGAUGCCAUCUGUUCAGUUCUCCCGGCCAGCCUUGCUGCUUUAGCCAAACGUGAGGACUGAAGAAGCAGCGCUGCGUUGCUCACUUUACUUUCUGUGUAGAAUUUUCUCUUCUUCCCCUAAAUGAGUGCAAAGCAAAUUCUGGCAUUUAUUAUGAAGAACUUAGCAAGAACAAGAUCUUGGUAUAUUGCUCGUGCAACUUCACAUUUUUAGUUCUCCUUCUCCCCUCCCCAACACGUGCUGACUACCUUUCCUUUAUCACGAUGAGGAAAAAUCUGUUGUACCUACAGAACCUGCCGUAAACGUCUCCUUUAAAAUCCUAAUCAAGAAAAAUACCGAAGCAAAGUUCCAGCGAUUCCACAUCGUGUCGGUCUAUUCACUUAUUAAAAGCUACAUGCCGUCUUUUCCUGAAUUGAGAAGAGGUUUUUGUUUUUACAAGGUUUCUAUCUUUUUUUUUUUUUUUUUAAAUAGGGAACUUUAAAUUGCUGCCAGGUUAUGAUCUUUGUUUUGCUUUGGCAUUGAUUCAUGAAGCUGGAACUCCUUCAAGUUUAUACAGAGUGCUUUUUCGUUUUUGUAUUGUGUCGGCAUGUGUGCGUGGGUAUAGAUUGCUACAAACAUGUCUUCCUGGCUUUUUUUAAAAUGAAUUUGAAAGCGUUUGUCUUUUAAAAAAUCAUUUACUUUGUAAUUAAAGCUGAUCUUACAGUUAAGCUCUACAUUCUUAUGAACACAUUAAACCAAAGCAUCUGACCUGCUUAACAGGCAGUUAAUACAAAUCUAUUCAUUUAGCUGUAUCAUUUAGUAUGAUACCCUAAAAUGGCAAAAAAAAUGCAAUUUCAAACAAUUUUAGGAAAAUUUUGCAUUGAGUUUGCUCUGAAUUUUGCAAUUCUUAAGAAAGACAAUAAAUUAAUUAUUUCAGGUUUUCAAAAUGUGGUGGUGGUGUUGCAGUUUUAAGAGUUUUAAGAUUAGUUCUUGGCAAAUGCAGCGUAUUUGGAUUUAAUAGGAUAUCUCUAUACUUAGUUAUUAAAGGAAAUGCGUAUAAAAAAGUGAGGUCUACUUUUGCACCAUAGUAUUAGCUGAAAGCUCGUGACUUGAAACUCUCAUGAAUAAUUUGCACAAUUCUACAGGAAUUUGAUGUUCUUAGUUUAAAUGGGAUUUCGUCUCCCUGGUUUUGUAUAAAGUUUAUACAAAAUGCUUUUCAAUGACAAAAGCAGGAGCAGGCUGUUACGACUUGGCCGUAUCUCCUGUGUAAGGUGGCUCAGUGUAGCAUUACAUUCUUCUCUCUUCACUCAGGACAAACUGUUGAAUUCAGCUGGGCUUGAAGAUUUCAGUGUAAUGCCUAGGGUUUCAACUGCUAAAUAAUAUUGGAAUUCCAGUAACACUGAUUGAUCAUGGCAGAAAUUAGGCCCCAGAGCACUGUGGCCCAAAUAUUCAUGGUAUAGACAGAUAAUAUCUAUCCAAAACAACUAUGACAGUGAUUUCUCAGAGGAACAGACCCCAAGCCUGCAUUUAUCCUUAUGUAACACUAUGUAUUUAAACGGGGACAAAUGGGAACAGAUCCUUACCUUUGCUGAAGUUUAUUUAUAAUGUAAAACUUCCCUACCCCCAGGAGCGAAAAAGAUACAGGAUUGAGCUGUUACUGUGUAAUGGGUUUUCUAUAAACCUUGGGAAAAAGAAUUUAAUUUCUAGAGACACAGAUGAAUUGAGUGCUCGGAUUUCACACAUAAAGAGCUCACUUGUCAUUAGGUAUUUUACUGAAUUUUUACUGUAUGAGUUUGUGUGUCUUAUCAGUUCUAUUUUUUUAAUCACUUGGUGGAGAGGCAUUCUUCCUGGCAUGCACAAAUAUAUAUUUAUAAGCCAAAGUUUUGAAACUCGGGUGUCUAAGAGCGAAUACCUUCCUUGAUGGUCAGGCAUUGGAACGGUGCGCGUUUUUCCAGAGGUGCCAAGCACCCUCUUGUUCUGCUGAAGACAUUGUUUUUUCCCACAGACUCACCACUGUGUUCUGUGCUGUAUGUACGAACAGAGGCAUGCCUAAUGCCCAUCCCUUCUUUGUUUUCCUGUAGACACUUGGCUAUUCAAUUUACAUGAUGCAUGAAUAAAGCAGAAAUGGUGAUAUACACCAUUUGAUCUUAGAUCCUAUUAAAUGAUUGUUAAAAUAUUCCAAGCAUAGUACUUUGUAUAAAUAAAUCAUUGUACUUAGCCUGGUACAUCACAGUAUAAAAACAGCACCAAGCAAAACAAAUAAAUCAUGUUGUUUGAUUUUACUGGUUAAGUUUAAAGAAGUAUUUAACAUAGUACUUGGUUAUUUAUGAAUUAAUCAUAAAGUAAGUCAAAGUACUUUCAUAUGUUAGCUACUAUUUUCAGUUCCGUUCUACAAAAUGGAAGUUUCCUUUCUCAUAUCUUAUUGGAAAAUCUGCUUCUUUACAAAAAGUCUGUAUUUGUUUGCAAAAUGUGCUUAUAUUUGCUAAAAUAAACGGUAUUUUUGUUACUAAUUUAAACAAUAAACUAUGAACACUAA